rnacentral:rRNA from 1 species
AUUGAACGCUGGCGGCAGGCCUAACACAUGCAAGUCGAGCGGAUGAAGGGAGCUUGCUCCUGGAUUCAGCGGCGGACGGGUGAGUAAUGCCUAGGAAUCUGCGUGGUAGUGGGGGAUAACGUCCGGAAACGGGCGCUAAUACCGCAUACGUCCUGAGGGAGAAAGUGGGGGAUCUUCGGACCUCACGCUAUCAGAUGAGCCUAGGUCGGAUUAGCUAGUUGGUGGGGUAAAGGCCUACCAAGGCGACGAUCCGUAACUGGUCUGAGAGGAUGAUCAGUCACACUGGAACUGAGACACGGUCCAGACUCCUACGGGAGGCAGCAGUGGGGAAUAUUGGACAAAGGGCGAAAGCCUGAUCCAGCCAUGCCGCGUGUGUGAAGAAGGUCUUCGGAUUGUAAAGCACUUUAAGUUGGGAGGAAGGGCAGUAAGUUAAUACCUUGCUGUUUUGACGUUACCAACAGAAUAAGCACCGGCUAACUUCGUG